rnacentral:tRNA from 1 species
CGGGGUGUAGCGUAGUCCGGUAUAGUGUAUGCUUUGGGAGCAGGAGGUCACUGGUUCGAAUCUUGCCUCCCCGA